GAUGAACGCUGGCGGCGUGCCUAAUACAUGCAAGUCGAGCGAACAGACGAGGAGCUUGCUCCUCUGACGUUAGCGGCGGACGGGUGAGUAACACGUGGAUAACCUACCUAUAAGACUGGGAUAACUUCGGGAAACCGGAGCUAAUACCGGAUAAUAUAUUGAACCGCAUGGUUCAAUAGUGAAAGAUGGUUUUGCUGUCACUUAUAGAUGGAUCCGCGCCGCAUUAGCUAGUUGGUAAGGUAACGGCUUACCAAGGCAACGAUGCGUAGCCGACCUGAGAGGGUGAUCGGCCACACUGGAACUGAGACACGGUACAGACUCCUACGGGAGGCAGCAGUAGGGAAUCUUCCGCAAUGGGCGAAAGCCUGACGGAGCAACGCCGCGUGAGUGAUGAAGGUCUUCGGAUCGUAAAACUCUGUUAUUAGGGAAGAACAAAUGUGUAAGUAACUAUGCACGUCUUGACGGUACCUAAUCAGAAAGCCACGGCUAACUACGUG
rnacentral:rRNA from 1 species